AUGGCGCGGGCCACUCCACUCAAUGGCGCCGCGCGCAUUCAAGAAGGAGGAAGCAUAUCCGCAGGCUCGCGGUGCGACAGUGUGGAGACCUGUCGCAAUGCGGUUCAUUCCACAGAGAAUGACGCGAGGUCGCCUUUGCGGAGGCUGGGCGAUCAGAGCCGGUAUCAUG
rnacentral:ncRNA from 1 species